UCGUGAACGGUAAACCCUAGCCCUCUGAAGCAAAGGAAUAAGUACCCUAGCCCAGUAGCCCUCCAUCGUCGCCGCGGUUCUCAGGUCGUCAGCGCCACCGCUGUCGCCAGGUCCUCAGUAUCGUCGCUUCUUCCUCUUCCCCGUGUCCGGAAUCCAGUCACUCGGUAGAUCCUCUUCGUCUUCGCUGGCCUCUCGAACCCAGGAUGAAUUACAUACACUCACCUUCAUCCUCGUAAAACCCUCUCACUCUCGCCAUUCAGAGUCGUCUCCUCCCAUUCACGGCUCACCUGCACGUAUCCACAUUGACCGUCGUCACUCCUCUUCGCCAUCGCUUGCACUGAUUGAAGCUGUGCCGCCCUCACCAUCAUCGCUGUGCAGCCCUCACCAUCGUUGCUGCGCCGCUCUCACCAUCGUCAUCUCCGUGCUUCUCAUCAUCGUCUUUGCUGUGCUCACAUCAUUGAAUAGUUUGAACGGUUUCUUGGUUAGCCAGAAACAGAACUGGUGUGAAGAAUGUAAAGAAUGAAAGAGGACAAGGAGUAGAGAAGUAGAAGACGAAGAAGAAAGGUGAGCUGAAUGAGCUAUAACAUUUGCACUCAUUGACUCCAUUGACGCCACCGCAGCAAGUAAUCCGUUGUAGCAGUGUUGGUCUUUGAUUGUCGGAGCAUUUUGAGGACUUGCUCAUUGAAGAAGCAAAUUGAUGCUGAAGCUCAUGCUGUUCAUGUUUGACUUGCAGAGCUUAGUUUGGUUGCUUCCUUCAAAAGGCAUGUGACGUGAGCACAAGUUUAAAAACGGUGUGAUAACAUACCAUGUGAAAUAGAAAGUUCUAGACAUAAUUAGGCACAAGAGAAAAACUACAGCAAACAUUUUUUAGGGCCCUUGUCAUAUCAAAGAUAUCAUGCACCAUUGAAACAAAACACAUGUAGGCUAUAGGGGCCAUAAGCCUGCCUUUCAAAACCUUUGGAGAAUAGAGAUUAUCUUAUAGCUGUGAUGCUUCCGUCCAACUAAAUGCACUAAAGUAUGCAAGAAGUGGACAGAUUCCACAUGAAGUGAUAAUUAAGAUAGUUUCUUCAGAAAGAAUCCACAACUAUUCCAAAACACACCAUAAAAGCUGUGGCACGGGUAGUGAUAAGCACACUAGUGCUUGUUUUAUUUUUCAACCACUUAUUUACCUCUUUCAUUGCAAAGACUUUUGUUGAUUAAACGAUUCAUUUUAUAGCUAAGUCAAUGGAGAUAGACUAUUAAAUUAAAUAUUUUUAGUGUCAUGAACCAAGAAGAAGUUGGAUGAUGAAUUGAUGAUGGAUACAUAUUAUAUUGAACAACAUUUCAAAUCUUUAUUGUCUUUAUGUAGAAAUGGAGCAGUAUGAUCUGCAAAGACAAAGAAAGGAUAUGAAAAACAA